rnacentral:rRNA from 1 species
AGAGUUUGAUCAUGGCUCAGGAUGAACGCUGGCGGCGUGCCUAACACAUGCAAGUCGAACGGAACUUAUUAUGACGAUUUCGGUCUGAAUUUUAAGUUUAGUGGCGGACGGGUGAGUAACGCGUGGACAACCUGCCUUUUACAGGGGGAUAGCAGCUGGAAACGACUGGUAAUACCGUAUACGCUCAAUACACCGGAUGGUGUAAUGAGGAAAGAUUUAUCGGUGAAAGAUGGAUCCGCGUCUGAUUAGCUAGUUGGGGGGGUAACGGCCCACCAAAGCGACGAUCAGUAGCCGGCCUGAGAGGGCGGACGGCCACAUUGGGACUGAGACACGGCCCAGACUCCUACGGGAGGCAGCAGUGGGGGAUAUUGCACAAUGGGCGCAAGCCUGAUGCAGCGACGCCGCGUGAGUGAAGAAGUAUUUCGGUAUGUAAAGCUCUAUCAGCAGGGAAGAAAGGCCCUUUAAGGGAGAUGACGGUACCUGACUAAGAAGCUCGGCUAACUACGUGCCAGCAGCCGCGGUAAUACGUAGGGGGCAAGCGUUAUCCGGAUUUACUGGGUGUAAAGGGAGCGCAGACGGAACUGCCAGUCUGAUGUGAAAGCCCCGGGCUCCACCGCCGGACUGCAUCGGAUACUGUAGAUCUGGAGUGCCGGAGGGGCCAGCCGAAUUCUCUGGUGUAGCSGUGAAAUGCSUAGAUAUCAGSAGRAMMMCSGCGGCGAMGSSSSCUGCUGGACGSCAACUGACGUUGAGGCUCGAAMGCGUGSGSAGCAAMMRCGAUUAGAUACCCUGGUAGUCCACGCUGUAAACGAUGAAUACUAGGUGUGGGCAUGCACGGCAUGUCCGUGCCGCAGCUAACGCAAUAAGUAUUCCACCUGGGGAGUACGUUCGCCAGCAUGAAACUCAAAGGCAUUGACGCGGACCCGCACACGCGGCGGAGCACGUGGUUUAAUUCGAAGCAACGCGACGAACCUUACCAGGCCUUGACAUCGACUGACAGAUGCAGAGAUGUAUCCCUCUCUUCGGAGACAGGAAGACAGGCGGUGCAUGGCUGUCGUCAGCUCGUGUCGUGAGAUGUUGGGUUAAGUCCCGCAACGAGCGCAACCCCUAUCCUAUGUUACCAUCAUUGAGUUGGGGACUCAUAGGAGACUGCCACGGACAACCUGGCGGCAGGCGCGGAUGACGUCAAGUCAUCAUGCCCCUUAUGUCCUGGGCUACACACGUACUACACUGGCCGGCAACAGAGGGAAGCGAAGCCGCGAGGCGGAGCGAACCCCAAAAACCCGGUCCCAGUUCGGAUCGCAGGCUGCAACCCGCCUGCGUGAAGUCGGAAUCGCUAGUAAUCGCAGGUCAGCAUACUGCGGUGAAUACGUUCCCGGGCCUUGUACACACCGCCCGUCACACCACGAAAGUUGGUAACACCCGAAGCCGGUGGGGUAACCGUAAGGAGCCAGCCGUCUAAGGUGGGGCCGAUGAUUGGGGUGAAGUCGUAACAAGGUAGCCGUA